rnacentral:tRNA from 7 species
GCCUCUUUAGCUCAGCUGGUAGAGCAGCUCAUUCGUAAUGAGCAGGUCGUGGGUUCGAGUCCCAUGAGAGGCUCAA